rnacentral:rRNA from 1 species
GACGAACGCUGGCGGCGUGCUUAACACAUGCAAGUCGAACGGAAAGGCCCUGCUUUUGUGGGGUGCUCGAGUGGCGAACGGGUGAGUAACACGUGAGUAACCUGCCCUUGACUUUGGGAUAACUUCAGGAAACUGGGGCUAAUACAGGAUAGGAGCUCCUGCUGCAUGGUGGGGGUUGGAAAGUUUCGGCGGUUGGGGAUGGACUCGCGGCUUAUCAGCUUGUUGGUGGGGUAGUGGCUUACCAAGGCUUUGACGGGUAGCCGGCCUGAGAGGGUGACCGGCCACAUUGGGACUGAGAUACGGCCCAGACUCCUACGGGCGGCAGCAGUGGGGAAUAUUGCACAAUGGGCGGAAGCCUGAUGCAGCAACGCCGCGUGCGGGAUGACGGCCUUCGGGUUGUAAACCGCUUUCGCCUGUGACGAAGCGUGAGUGACGGUAAUGGGUAAAGAAGCACCGGCUAACUACGUG